AGCAGAGCACUCCUACGGGAGGCAGCAGUCGAGAAUCGUCCGCAAUGCACUAACGUGUGACGGCGCGACGUCGCGUGAUGGAUGAAUCACUUCGGUGUGUAAACAUCUUUUAUGAGGGAGGAAAUUUAUUGACGUGUACCUCAUGUAAUAAGGGGCUCCUAAAUUCGUGCCAGCAGGAGCGGUAACACGAAUGCCCCGAGCGUUAUCCGGAAUUACUGGGCGUAAAGGGUCCGCAGGCGGCUCUGUUAGUCCGGCGUUAAAUCACGAGGCUUAACCUCGUGGCUGCGUCGGAAACGGCAGAGCUUGAGGGUGUGAGAGGUGAGUGGAACCGACGGUGUAGGGGUGAAAUCCGUUGAUAUCGUCGGGAACACCAAAUGCGAAGGCAACUCACUGGCACAUUCCUGACGCUCAUGGACGACAGCUAAGGUAGCGAACGGGAUUAGAUACCCUGGUAG
rnacentral:rRNA from 1 species